rnacentral:rRNA from 1 species
UCGGAAUUUGCCCAGUCGUGGGGGAUAACGUAGGGAAACUUACGCUAAUACCGCAUACGACACCGCGUUGAAAGAUGCGGGGUGAAAGCGGGGGAUCUGUAAGGACCUCGCGCGAGUGGAUGAGCCGAUGUCGGAUUAGCUAGUUGGCGGGGUAAAGGCCCACCAAGGCGACGAUCCGUAGCUGGUCUGAGAGGAUGAUCAGCCACACUGGGACUGAGACACGGCCCAG